rnacentral:lncRNA from 1 species
GCUGAGUCUACAGGUGUAUCCAGCAGCUCCAGAGAGACAGCCACCAGCGAGAAGAGGCCAUGAUGAUGGUGGUGGUUUUGUGAAAACGAAAAGGGGGAUAUGUAGGGAAAAGAAAGAGAGAGCAGACUGUUACUGUGUCUACAUAGAAAGGGAAGACAUAAGAGACUCCAUUUUGAAAAAGACCUGUACUUUCAACAAUUGCUUUGCUGAGAUGUUGUUAAUCUGUAGCUUUGCCCCAGCCACCUUGCCCCAACCACUUUGACCCAAC